UACGUAGGGCGCAAGCGUUAUCCGGAAUUAUUGGGCGUAAAGAGCUCGUAGGCGGCUUGUCGCGUCUGCCGUGAAAGUCCAGGGCUCAACCCUGGAAUGCCGGUGGAUACUGUCGGGCUCGAGUCCGGAAGAGGCGAAUGGAAUUCCUGGUGUAGCGGUGAAAUGCGCAGAUAUCAGGAGGAACACCGAUGGCGAAGGCAGCUCGCUGGGACGGUACUGACGCUGAGACGCGAAAGCGUGGGGAGCAAACAGG
rnacentral:rRNA from 1 species